rnacentral:lncRNA from 1 species
GUGGUGGUGGUGUGUGUGUGUUUGGUGUGGCAAUUGCAUUUUUUUUUCUUUUUCGUCUUUUCUAGGAGCAUACCCACGGCACAUGGAGGUUCCCAGGCUAGGGGUUGAAUCGGAGCUGUAGCUUCCAGCCCACGCCAGGGCCACAGCAUCCAGGGAUCUGAGCCGCGUCUGUGGCCUAACACUGCAGCUCAUGGCAACGCCGGAUCCUUAACCCACUGAGCAAGACCAGGGAUCGAACCCGCAACCUUAUGGUUCCUAGUCGGAUUCGUUAACCACUGUGCCACAAUGGGAACUCUGGAAAUUGCAUCUUUAACUAGAUUAUGAACCUUUCUUCUUUUCCUCUGAGCUAAUAAUGAUGGAGUCCAGUUCUUUAUCUGAUAUGUGUCCUAGUAAAUACAUGUAAUAAGACCUAGUUUGAAAAAGAAUCAGAGGAUGUUCCUGGCUACUUAACUUUGCAGCACUGCUUUCCAGCUGUCCUUUGGGAAAUCACUGGUUAUCUUUUUGCUGUCGUUGUUGGUAUUUAUACCUUUUUACCAUGCUUCUUCAAAUUCUGCAAACAGCACCCUGGGGAAGCUUUGAUUUAUUUCCAAAAUACAAACAACAUGAAGCCUGAUUUUCUGGUUCAAGUGUUCUGACCUGGCACCAAGGUCAGCACACAAAUUGUCUGAUGGGGCCCAGACCAGUUUAGCUUCGUGGUGGCAACACAAGUACUAUUUGUAUUGAACUAUCUGGCCACUGUACUGAGCAGAGGUGGGCACAGGAGAACAGUGAGAAACAGACCAUUUCAGCACAAGAAUGUAACUUCUUCAGGAAAGUUUUUUAUCAUUGUUGUGACCAGUGAAAAUUUUAAGACCUAGAGCAUGUAAGGUUAGGUUACUAACCGCAGAUCAGCCUGUAGAGCAGAGACAAGGAAUGACCUGGACUCUUAAGUACCUGAAUUUAUGAAACCUCCCAGGCAUAAUCUCAUAGGAGAACCUCAAUUCUUGUCUCUAUUACAAUCUACCCUGAGGAAUAACAUAUGUACAAGGUUCUUCACCGCAGUUCCGUCAGCAACAGCAGAAGUUUGGAAACAAUGUUAAGUAAUCAUCUUAGAGGCCUAAUUAACCAAAUUAUGGAACACCCAUAAAAUGGAACACAGUAAAAUCAUUUUUCAAAAAACGAGAAUAGAGUUUCCGCUGUGGCAAAGUGAGUUAAUGAUUUGGCUUGUUGCUGUGAUGUUGCCCAUUCGAUCCCUAGUCCUGCGCAGUGGGUUAAGGAUCCCGCAUUGCCGCAAUUGUGGCAUAGGUUGUAGAUGCAGCUCAGAUUCGAUCCCUGUCCUGGGAACUUCCAUAGGCUGAGGGUAUGGCCAAAAAAGGAAAAAAAAAAUGAGAAUACUCUUUAUGAAUGGAAUGAGAACAAUUUCAAAUAAGAAAACCAAGGUGUGGAAUAAUAGAGUAUACCAUCGUGGAGAAAAAAGGCAAAACAAGAGUAGAAAUAUACAAAAAAGGGGGGGAGUUUCCUGGUGGCUGAGCGGUUAAGGUUUCAGCAUUGUCAUUACCACUGCUAUGGUUUGGGUUCCCUGGCCCAGGAAUUUCUGCAUGCAAAGAGCAUGGCAAAAACAAACAAACAAACAAACAUACAUGCAUAUAUGUAUAUAUAUAAAAUAUAUAUAAAUAUACAAUUAUAUUUUCUUGUAUACAUAUGAAAUAUCUCUGGAAGGGUACAAAAUAAACUGAACCACUGGCUUCUUCUAGAAAAGGACAUUGGGUAAUGCAGAAGGUUUCAGAGCAGACUUUUCACUGUAUAUCCUGUUAAAUUCUGAACCAGGAGUUCCUGUCAUGGCUCAGUGGUUAACAAAUCUGAUUAGCAUCCAUGAGGACACAGGUUCGAUCCCUUGCCUUGCUUAGUAGGUUAAGGAUCCAGCGUUGCCAUGAGCUGUGGCAUAGGUUGCAGACACGGCUUGGAUCCUGUGUUGCUGUGGCUGUGGCGUAGGCUGGCAGCUGUAGCUCCGAUUCAACCCCUAGCCUGGGAACCUCCACAUGCCGUGGGUAUGGCCCUAAAAAGACAAAAAUUAAAAAUUAAAAAAAAAAAAUUUGAACCAAAUAUAACCCUUACUCAAAAUAAAUAAAGUUAUUAUUUUUUUUUUUUUUAAUUUUUACAGCUGCACCUUCCUGGGCUGGGAGUCAAAUCGCCACAGCCAUGGCAAUGCUGUGGAUCCUUAACCUACUGAGCCCACAUCCUCACAGACACUAUGUGGGGUUCUGAACCCACUGAGCCACCAAGGGAACUCCUAAAAUUAAUAUUUUAAAAUGAAACAGAAUUACAUUAAUGGGAGGUAAAAAUGACAGGGUUUAAGACGGGCUCAAGGAUGUCUUGUGCAACACAGGGAAUAUAGCCAAUAUUUUGUAACAACUGUAAAUGAAGGAUAACCUUUAAAAUUGUAUAAAAAAUAGGGGGAAAAAACUGUAACUGCAAUGUAUACAUCUAAGGAUGACCUGACCCCCUUGCUGUACAGUGGGAAAAUAAUAAAAAAAAAAAAAUUGUAUAAAAAAUAAAAUAAUUGAAAUAAAAGAGUUCAUUAAGCCCUUAAGCUAGGUGUUCAUUGUAUCAUUCUUGCAUCAUUUCUGUAGGCUUGAAAUUUUUUCAAAAUGAGAUCAAGUUAAAAAAAAAGAAAAAAGAGAAGAUGCUCUGGGGUAAUAAGUUGGGUGCCUCUAGCUCAAGGCUAUCAAGGAAGGGGAAGAGCCAAAGAUAAUUUGCUUGCUUCAGGGGGAUACUUAUAUUGGCCUGAGAGCGGAGGGCAGAGUGGAAAUCCCUUUUUUUGUGGCCAUCACGAAAUGGGUUUCCAACAUGGGCAGUGCAAUUUCCGACUAUGCCAUUAGAAGCAGCACAAUCUUCUUUAACUGAAAAUGGCCCCCUUGGGUUAGCUAAGCAGAAAGGGAAAAAAAGCAAAUGUCAUGGUUAACCCUUUUCCUCCAUGCUUAGGCAACUGAAGCAGAUAAAAUGCCAAACAUGUAGAAAGGGACUUUGAUGAAGUCAAAGCUUACAUCUUGGUUUUGGGGUUUUUUUGCUGGUUUUUUUUGUUUGUUUGUUUGUUUGUUUUUUGGUUACCUCUGCGAGUGCAGAAGUCCUUUGGACCAGGGAUCAAACCUGUGCCACAGCAGUGAUGAUGCCGGGUCCUUAACCACCAGGCUAUCAGGGAACUCCUCAAAGCUUAGAAAAAGCUUUGGAGAAAUGCUCUUGGCCAACCCCAGGGAAGAGGGGUGGCCCCUUGGGGACUCAUAACAGACAAGGUGUUUCCUCUGUGUGGGCUCAGCAAGAGUCAACAAGCAAGAAGGUGGUUUAUAAUGGAGGGAGCCUGAAUGAAAAGGGAGGAGAGCCAACAAAUACAUCUCUCAGUCCUGAUUCUACCUCAACACUUACCAAAGCGUCUUAAUUUUUUGUUUUCUUUUUACAGCCGCUCUUGCAGCAUCUGGAAAUUCCUGGAACAGAGGUCGAAUUGGAGCUACAGCUGCCAGCCUACACCACAGCCACAGCAACACCGGAUCCGAGCCGCAUCUGCGACCUAGGCCACAGCUUGCGGCAACACCGAAUCCUUAACCGCUGAGCCAGGCCAAGGAUCGAACCCACAGCUUCAUGGACACGAUGUCAGGUUCUUAACCCACUGAGCCACAACAAGAACUGCGGGUCUUAAUUUUUAAAGCCUGAGUAGCCUCUUCUAUAAAAUGGAAUCAUAAUCACUGCCUCACCCACCUUCCUAGACUAAAUGAUAAAAAAGGAUACAAUGCAUCUUUGAAACUUGAAAGCACUAGAGGUGUAUAUUGUGUUAACAAACAUGACAAAAUACCUUUUGAUGAUAAUUAUGAAGUUUUCAGAGAGGCAACAUUCAUCCUUAGGAUCAGACACAUCAUAAUUUUCUAUGAUAUGUCUAAUGUUCUAGUCAUAACCUUUUAUCUGCUGUGUGACCUAGGACAAGUCCCCUAGCCUCUCUGAGCCUUAGUGUCCUCACUGCAAAAUGCUGUUAAACAGAUUGACUUAACAAGGCAGCCAGCUAUGAGAAUGAAGUAGAGUAAUGCAUUCAAAAUGGAGAACUCACCAAUUCCUUUCCCAUGUACCUGGGGUCAUGGCUCAGCCGAAAAGUAUCUGACCAGCAUCCAUGAGGAUGCAGGUCCGAUCCCUGGCCUCACUCAGUGGGUUAAGAAUCUAGCAUUGCCAUGAGCUGUGGCAUAGGUUGCAGUCACAGCUCAAAUCGGGCACUGCUGUGGCUGUGGUGUUGGCUGGCAGCUGCAGCUCUGAUUCAACCCCUAGCCUGGAAACUUCUAUACACUGCAGGUGCGGCCCUAGAGAGAAAAAAAAAAAAAAUUAGGUACUGGGCCUUAACUUCCUGGUAAAUCCAGCCAUGCUCCUACAGUUACUCAUUUCCUUCUUCCCUCCAUCCCUUCCCUCCGCUUCCCCUUCCAUCCAUCUCUCCUUCUGUCCAUGUCGCUUGCCCCUACCCGGCCCUCUAGCACCCACUGGGCACCAGGCAGUAACUUCCUAAAUAUACAUGCGGAUUAAAACCAUGGACAUUGCUCCAAUCUGCAGAUUCUUAUCCAAAUCAUGAUCCACACACAGCUUUUCUUGAUACAAAAUAAAAAUCACAAACAGUUAACCUGUGGGUGGAGUGUAAUCACACUAUGUGGGGCUGCGCCUCAGACGUGAUAGACCGCAAGGUUGCCGGAAGCUAAGGUUUUCUGUUUACAUUUGUGAACACACCCAGAGGCAGGCUCUGGGGCAUUCAGCAAAUAAAACGAUCCUCUCAGAAGAGAGUGGGGAAUGAUACAACAAUCUAGAGGAGAGAGCAUCAUAUGGUUAUGCAUAAUGAUACAUGAUUUUAAAAAGGGGGGAAUUCCUGUUGUGGCUCAGUGGUAAUGAACCCGACUAGUACUUAUGAGGAUGCGGGUUCAAUUCCUGGCCCCACUCUGUGGGUUAAGGAUCUGGCAUUGCUGUGAGCUGUGGUGUAGGCCGCAGAUGAGGAGGAGCUGCCUGGUGGGUUCACAGGUGUUUACUAUAAAUAAAUAAAUAAUCAAUAACCAGACACACGUUGUGCAAGGUUCCAAAUGAAGAUGAAAGAAUGCUGUGAAUCAAAGAUUAUGAAUAACCCUGGUGUGCUUGGAUUCAAUAAAAGAGAAAAUGAAACUCUACUCUGGGGAUGGAGGUAGGAAGCACACCUUGGAAGAGGGUGGACGUGUCAAGAAAGAUCAAAUAAAGAACCCAGAAGAGGGGCAGGGGUGUGUGAGUUUCCGUGAAGAUUGGGGAGUACUGACCUUGGAGGCUGGGGACCUUUUAUCAGUCACGUGCUGCUGUGCAGGUUCAGAAUUGUCACCUGCGGUCGGACGGUAGGUGUGACCACAGGGUGGUCACUGUGAUGGGGUCAGUAAGAUGCUCCUGGCAGAUCUCUGUUUGGGUCCUGGGUCUCUGCCUGGUGAGGGCCCCUCACCCUCACUGCCUUCUCCCUGGGGUCUUUGCCAGGCCUGCCCUAGACUGACUUUCAGUUCCUGUGUGUGUUGUUCUCAGACAGGACCAGCCCUGCCCAGCUGGGGAGAUGCUGCAUGAGUGCAGAGAAACUUGUUCCAGCUGGGAGCUCAGCACCUCCCCAACAAGAUGCCGUUUGGUCACGGAGCCCGCAGUCCUAGCCCUUCUCUCUCUUGCUCGGUGGGGAAUCCAGGGGGGAGUGCUCUCAGACAGCUGAGCUGCCUGCUGUCAUAACCAGACCCAACGGGUCACAGGCUGGAGCAACUGCUUUUCCAUUGAUAAAAUCUGCUCAAGGCCCCAGAGGUCAGCACCAGGCAGAGAAUGCUUGUUGGGCCCAGUUGAUUGACUUCAUGGACAGAACUAACUGGGACUCUCAAAGGCACACAGAGGGUGGUCCUGUCU